rnacentral:rRNA from 1 species
ACUCCUACGGGAGGCAGCAGUAGGGAAUCUUCCACAAUGGGCGCAAGCCUGAUGGAGCAACACCGCGUGAGUGAAGAAGGGUUUCGGCUCGUAAAGCUCUGUUGUUAAAGAAGAACACGUAUGAGAGUAACUGUUCAUACGUUGACGGUAUUUAACCAGAAAGUCACGGCUAACUACGUGCCAGCAGCCGCGGUAAUACGUAGGUGGCAAGCGUUAUCCGGAUUUAUUGGGCGUAAAGAGAGUGCAGGCGGUUUUCUAAGUCUGAUGUGAAAGCCUUCGGCUUAACCGGAGAAGUGCAUCGGAAACUGGAUAACUUGAGUGCAGAAGAGGGUAGUGGAACUCCAUGUGUAGCGGUGGAAUGCGUAGAUAUAUGGAAGAACACCAGUGGCGAAGGCGGCUACCUGGUCUGCAACUGACGCUGAGACUCGAAAGCAUGGGUAGCGAACAGGAUUAGAUACCCUGGUAGGAUA